AUGUCAGCAAAGAUAAGAAGUUGAAUGUAGGAGGCAUACAUAUUGGGAUAUGGAUUUCCAUUAUAAUUGCUGUGUUUUUCUCAACAGUCCUCAUUUCCCUAUUGUUUUUUAGAGGAAGAACAUGCAUCAGAAAAAAUCAUUUGAUAGGAACAAUCUAUUAUGCAGCACCUAGAAAUGAUAAUCAAGAAAAUGUGUACACCAUUGCCGAACCAAACUAUAUUGAAAUAUCUGAAAUUGAGAGCGCAAACCAAGACUAUAAUUUGAAUAGAUCUGAAUCCGUGGAAAAAGAAGAAGAGGACCAGGAAUAUGAAGAAAUACACGAAUACAUGGACAUGCAGUAAAAUUAUUCAAAUUUUAUCAAAAAAUCAUUCGGAAUUAAAUGUAUGUCUACUUUUCGAUAAAACGGUUGUACAAACAGUUCACUAAUGCAUUAUUUUGCAAAAAGUAUUCUUAUUUAAAAGGUAAUUAAGACAGGAAUAAUAUAAUAUAAGGAAUGUUCUACUAACUACAUUUUUUAUCGGCGUCUUUGUCAAUAAACUAUC